CAAUUAUUGACAUAGCAACUCCCGUCAGGAGGAAUAGAGGGAUUUCCCCUCCUGUGUUGCUGCUCUCUGUUGGGGACGAAGGACAGAACGGUCCCGUGUGCUCUGGGCGGAGCCCCGUCACUCAGAGUCUGGCUCCACCAGGCUAGAAAAGCUUCAGAGCUGGGCCUCCGGCAGAAGCUGUUUCUCCAGGCUCACACCUCCUGGGAUGUGGUGGCCAGGACUGGCUGGGAAGGCAGGGCUGCACUCUGGGACCCGCCGGCAGCCACAGCUCCUAUCUGCCUGCACACGUAGCCGUCCCAAGCAUCCCUAGGUUGGAGCCCUUGCUGCCUGCCCACUGGACUUGCUGCACCCCCACCAUGAAGCUCUGGGUGUUCUGGACCGGGCUGGAGUACACCUGCCGGAUCCUGGGCAUCACCACCGCCUCAGUGUUGAUCGGCGUGGGCACCGAGACCCUCCUCCGGGGGCAGUUCAAAAGCCUGGCCUUCUAUCUGCUGUGAGUACGUGCACCCGCCCUUCCCUGCCGCAGGGCUGCCCAUUUGCCCCACACCUGUCCACCUGUGCUGACCCAGAGCUACUGACUCCCUCCCAGAGUGGAGGAAGCCUCCUGACCCAGGAGGCUUCUACGAUAGCUCCUAGUUUAGACAGGUCAUCCCUUAAAUCAACCAACUAUCCCUCUAUCCACCCACUUAUCCACUCACACAACCACCCAUCUGUCUACUCAUCCAUCCAUCCAUCCACUCACGCACCCAUUCACUCAUCCAUCCAUCCAUCCAUCCACUCAUCCAUCCACCCAUCCAUCCAUCCAUCCACUCAUCUAUCCACCCAUCCAUCCAUCCACUCAUCCAUCCACCCAUCCA
rnacentral:lncRNA from 1 species